ACAAGUUAGUUCCGCGGCUCCGGGGCCUCGGCGCCCGCCCGGGGAGCCGGCCGCGGCGGGCUGGGGAGGAGGGGGAGCGGGGAGGCGCCGAGGGCGAAAGAGUGGGGAAAAGUGCGAAAAGAAGCAACAGCCGCUCCACCCGAGACCAGAAAAGUGGCCGGCCGCGUCCGGGCCGCCCGCCCUGCGCCGGGGAUGCGGCGGCGGCGGCGGCGGCUAACGGUCCAGGGAGGCGGCAGGGGCGGCAGGAGCCGCUAGGCGGAGAGAGACCAGCUGAGAAAGCAGGUAGCCACUGGAGCUGUUGACAACCAUCUUUUGAGCACAAUGAGAGCCAGCCUUUGGAUGAAGUUGACACUGCAGAAGUUCCAGGUGGUGUGUACUACCCCUGGGACAAUUUGUCCCUCUCAGCCAGCUCAAAAGGACCAUUGCCUUAGAUGACACAGAAGAUGGAUGUUUUCACCUUGACCUUGUUGGCAUAUCUUCAUUAUUCCCACCCUUCCAACCGAUACUCCUCUUCCUCCUCCCAACCUGAGGGGCAAGUGGAAUCAAA